rnacentral:lncRNA from 1 species
GAACCAGACAGGCGCUGGGCCGUGAGGGAAGAACCCUUGGGAAGCGCGCGGAGCAGGUGGGACGCCCUGGCGCCGGACCCCUGCCCGCAGCCCGCGCCCCGCGCUGCCCACGGCCCACAGCAGCGCAGGCGCUCCGAGACGCACGCAAGCGUGGGAGGAGAAGAAUCCGAGGGGCGCCCAGAACCGCUUCUGACUUUGGCAACACCGCGAGUCCCUGUCUGCCCGGAGAAAUCCGGAAUCAGAGCCCCCCAUGGUCAUCACCUCCUUGUCCCCCGCAGAAAGCCCAGAGGGCUCAGAAGUAAUGCAAGGGCGGGGGAUCACCCGCGGACCCCGCAGGGAGCAGGAGCCAGGUCCCCGGGGUCACGGACAGGCACGCGGGAGCCCCUGGCGCCUUCCUUUCCCCGGGGAGCCCCAGGGGCGGCCCAGAGCCCCGCGCGCGCAUCUCGCUGCUGGAGCCGCCUGGAGACCCGCACGGCGCCCGGGACGCGGGGCGGCAGCAGGCCCCCGGGAACCGAGUUAACGCCAUUAGGAGUCGGAAGCAGGUGGCGCGGUAAUGGCGCGUUUUUCAUUUCGUUUAUUAGCAAAGCGAGCGCGGGGGGCGUCGUCUGUUUCCAUCAGCACUGGCGGCACGAAAAUCGUCGGGGCCGCGGCCUCGUGCGCCCCGCGUCUCCCUGGCCGCUUUCUCUUAAAGCGCACGCCCCGCUCCCGGCCCCCGGCGCCCCAAGGCCGUGCGUGAGCGCGCGGUGCGCGGCCAGGUAGGUCCUGGCGGGAGCGGCUCUGGGGGUCGUCCUGGGCUGCACGCUCGCAGACCCCUCAGAUGCAGCCUCCCUCCAGACAAAGGAACCGCGCGCCGCCCGGGUCCCGCACCCCUGCUCGGCCCCAGCCAGCGCCGCAGGCCCCACGCGCGCCGCGUUCCUCCCGGGCCGCUCCCGCACCCGGCGCGGCGCCGCGGCCCUCGCGCGCCCUCUAGCGGCGCCGGUCGGGACCGCCCCGCGCCGCGACCCCACGCCCCGACCCCGCACCGGG